GACGUAGGAGGCGAGCGUUGUCCGGAUUCAUUGGGCGUAAAGAGCGCGCAGGCGGCUUGGUAAGUCGGAUGUGAAAUCCCGAGGCUCAACCUCGGGUCUGCAUCCGAUACUGCCCGGCUAGAGGUAGGUAGGGGAGAUCGGAAUUCCUGGUGUGAGCGGUGGAAAUGACGCAGAUAUCAGGAGGAACACCGGUGGCGGAAGGCGGUUCUCUGGGCAUGUCCUGACGCUGAGGAGCGAAAGUGUGGGGAGCGAACAGG
rnacentral:rRNA from 1 species